rnacentral:lncRNA from 1 species
UCUCAAGAACAAAAGCUAAAUUCCACCAACCAUCGUUAAAUACAAUGGCUAUCUUUUAAAGUUCAUUGAAUAAUUGCCUCCUAUCGUGUGCAUAGUCUCUUAUAUACACCCUUAACAGUCGUAGACCUCUCUACCAGGCCAGUACCAACCAAGUCAACAUAUCUACUAUUAUGAUUUGGCAAAAAAAGAUACCGGUAUCAAGUGAGCAAACUAGCUAUGUGUACAACACGAAAAAACAAUUAUAUGUACCAAUUUGGAAGUUUUGUUGGUAUCAAGAGGCAUUCAGAACCAUAGUUGUGUCACCAUGCUCUAUUCUAGCAUAUAAGGAGCCGGCACUCCGGCUAGGGUAUAUAAUUGGAUGCCGAUGUGGAGAUGCAAGAGUUGUUUUCUUGUGAAAUGCUAGCAUUAAUUUCCUGCACAUGCCCAUAUAAUUUAGAAGAAUUUGCUUGUCCACUUUUAUCAAAUGCACAAACCAUUGACGAACUGUAGCACAUUAGUAAUCAGGCUUGAGAGACAGUUGUGAUACCAAGUAGUAUGAUACAAGAUCGGGUUAAAUGAUAGCAAAUGUAUCAAACAACCUUCCAUUCUCUAAACAAAAAUAAAAGGAUG